ACUGCUCAGUAACACGUGGACAACCUACCCUUAGGUCGGGGAUAAACCCGGGAAACUGGGUAUAAUACCCGAUAGAUCUCGACUGCUGGAAUGCAUCGAGAUCGAAAGCUCCGGCGCCUAAGGAUGGGUCUGCGGCCUAUCAGGUAGUAGUGGGUGUAGCGUACCUACUAGCCUACGACGGGUACGGGUUGUGAGAGCAAGAGCCCGGAGAUGGAUUCUGAGACACGAAUCCAGGCCCUACGGGGUGCAGCAGGCGCGAAAACUUUACAAUGCUGGAAACAGCGAUAAGGGGACCUCGAGUGCCAGGUUACAAAUCUGGCUGUCGUGAUGCCUAAAAAGCAUUGCAUAGCAAGGGCCGGGCAAGACCGGUGCCAGCCGCCGCGGUAACACCGGCGGCUCGAGUGGUAACCGUUAUUAUUGGGUCUAAAGGGUCUGUAGCCGGCCGGAUAAGUCUCUUGGGAAAUCCAGCAGCUCAACUGUUGGGUUUUCAGGAGAUACUGUCUGGCUCGAGGCCGGGAGAGGUGAGAGGUACUUCAGGGGUAGGGGUGAAAUCUUGUAAUCCUUGAAGGACCACCAGUGGCGAAGGCGUCUCACCAGAACGGACCUGACGGCAAGGGACGAAAGCUAGGGGCACGAACCGGAUUAGAUACCCGGGUAGUCCUAGCCGUAAACGAUACUCGCUAGGUGUCGGCCACGGUGCGACCGUUGUCGGUGCCGUAGGGAAGCCGUGAAGCGAGCCACCUGGGAAGUACGGCCGCAAGGCUGGAACUUAAAGGAAUUGGCGGGGGAGCA
rnacentral:rRNA from 1 species